UACGAAGGGGGCUAGCGUUGUUCGGAAUUACUGGGCGUAAAGCGCGUGUAGGCGGUUGUCCAAGUUGGAUGUGAAAGCCUUGAGCUCAACUCAAGAAAUGCAUUCAGGACUGGAUGACUAGAGGACCGGAGAGGAUAGUGGAAUUCCGCGUGUAGCAGUGAAAUGCGUAGAUAUGCGGAGGAACACCGAUGGCGAAGGCAGUCCCCUGGGCCUGCACUGACGCUCAUGCACGAAAGCGUGGGGAGCAAACAGG
rnacentral:rRNA from 1 species